rnacentral:rRNA from 1 species
UAGGCUGAAACUCGCCUACAUGAAGCUGGAGUUGCUAGUAAUCGCGAAUCAGCAUGUCGCGGUGAAUACGUUCCCGGGCCCUUGUACACACCGCCCGUCACACCAUGAGAGUUGGCAAUACCCAACGUACGUGAUCUAACCCGCAAGGGAGGAAGCGUCCUAAGGUAGGGUCAGCGAUUGGGGUGAAGUCGUAACAAGGUAGC